rnacentral:piRNA from 1 species
UCCUAGGGAUGGUGGUGACUUCCUCAAA